AUGCACGCUGGCGGCGUGCCUCAUACAUGCCGGUCGCGCGAACAGACGAGGAGCUUGCUCCUCUGACGUUAGCGGCGGACGGGUGAGUAACACGUGGAUAACCUACCUAUAAGACUGGGAUAACUUCGGGAAACCGGAGCUAAUACCGGAUAAUAUAUUGAACCGCAUGGUUCAAUAGUGAAAGACGGUUUUGCUGUCACUUAUAGAUGGAUCCGCGCCGCAUUAGCUAGUUGGUAAGGUAACGGCUUACCAAGGCAACGAUGCGUAGCCGACCUGAGAGGGUGAUCGGCCACACUGGAACUGAGACACGGUCCAGACUCCUACGGGAGGCAGCAGUAGGGAAUCUUCCGCAAUGGGCGAAAGCCUGACGGAGCAACGCCGCGUGAGUGAUGAAGGUCUUCGGAUCGUAAAACUCUGUUAUUAGGGAAGAACAAAUGUGUAAGUAACUAUGCACGUCUUGACGGUACCUAAUCAGAAAGCCACGGCUAACUACGUG
rnacentral:rRNA from 1 species